GAGGCUGAGCUAGGUGAAGUCUUAGAGGAGUAUUGUAAAAUAUGGCAUCACUCAAAGCUGAGAAACCUGUUGAGAAAUCUUGUUGCUCCCAACCAUCUACAGGACAGGUCAAGAAAGAACCUGCUGCUAAAACUAGUUCAACCACUCCCAAAGCUCAAUCCUCCAAGCCUGCCCCAAAGAAAACUGAACAGAAGUCUCAACCUAAGAAGAAGGCUAGCAGCAAUAAAUAAGCCGAAGAUGUGUCUGAAAUUUAGAUGACUAAA